AUUGAACGCUGGCGGCAGGCCUAACACAUGCAAGUCGAGCGGAUGACGGGAGCUUGCUCCUUGAUUCAGCGGCGGACGGGUGAGUAAUGCCUAGGAAUCUGGCUGGUAGUGGGGGACAACGUUUUGAAAGGAAUGCUUGUACCGCAUAAGUCCUACGGGAGAAAGAAGGGGACCUUCGGGCCUUGCGGUCUCAGAUGAGCCUAGGUCGGAUUAGCUUGUUGGUGGGGUAAUGGUUCACCAAGGCGACGAUCCGUAACUGGUCUGAGAGGAGGAUCAGUCACACUGGAACUGAGACACGGUCCAGACUCCUACGGGAGGCAGCAGUGGGGAAUAUUGGACAAUGGGCGAAAGCCUGAUCCAGCCAUGCCGCGUGUGUGAAGAAGGUCUUCGGAUUGUAAAGCACUUUAAGUUGGGAGGAAGGGUUGUAGAUUAAUACUCUGCAAUUUUGACGUUACCGACAGAAUAAGCACCGGCUAACUCUGUGCCAGCAGCCGCAGUAACAC
rnacentral:rRNA from 1 species